AAGUCUCAGGGAGCCCUAGAAUGGGAAGGAACUCCUGGUUAUCCCGUCAAGCUGGUGACCAAUAUCACAAAGCCGUCAGGCCCCCAAACCAUCAGGCUUGAUGCGCAUCGGGUUCUCCCGUGGGAUGACCUGAAUGGCCAAGGACAGCUUCCGGAGAAUUCACCAGUGAAGCCAUCUGGUCCAGGAAUUUUGUUUUUCAGAUUUUAAAUUAUUGACUCAAUCUCCUCACUACUUAAAUUUGAAGAUACGAGCCCACUGCCUUCUGGCCUCCACAGUUUCUGAUGAGGAGUUUGGUGAUCAUCUUCUCUUGCUUUUUCAAGAUAUUUUUCUUCAAGAUUCCCUCUUUUCCUUUUGAAGGUUUGAUUUUUAUGUGUCUUGUAUGGUCUCUUUGAGUCAAUCUUCUUGUUCCUUGUUUUUGACAUGUUUAUAUUCGUCCUUCACCAAACUUGCGACAAUUUCAACUAUUGUUUCUUCAGAUAUUGUCUCUACUCCUUUCUCUCCUUUCUGGGUCUCCUGCAAUGCUUAUGUUGGUCCAUUUAAUGGUAUCACACAGGUCCCUUAGGCUCUUUUCACAUUUCUUCAGUUUUUAUUCUUCCUGUUGCUCUGAUUCAAUAAUUUCCACUAUCCUAGAUUCUAGUUCACUGAUCAUUUAUUCUGCCUGCUCAAAGCUGUCUUUGAAUCAUCCCUCUAGUAAAUUGAUCAUUCCAGUUACUGUACUUUUUAGUUUUAGAAUUGCUUGUUGGGUUCUACUUAGGUUUUCCAUCUCUUUACUAAUAUUUCCAUUUUGUCCAUACAUCAUUCUCUUCACUGAGAAAAUAAAUAUAAAAACAAGUUAACAAAGAGAAAAGAUAAUCUGAAUUUAUGAUCAAGAAAACACAAAACUUGUCUUAUCAAAGAUUUUUUUCUAUUUAAUAGGUUUAUUGCUGGUGUUAAUAUUUGUAUUGUAAUUAUGAAAAAAUACACAUUAAAGGACAAAGUAGAUAAGUAAAUAUAUUAGUAUAAUUAUAAACCACAAUAUUUUUCUAUGAGAAAAGAUAAAUAUAUAAUAAAGAUAAGAAAAAACUGACAUUAAAUUUGAAUUGGUUCUGUCAGAUGAACUCAUGGUUCUUUUAUUAAGGUAUCACUAUUAUGAAGAUUUCACAAGAAAAACAAUGUGAUUAUUACAUUCACCCUUACUAUCAAGUC